rnacentral:rRNA from 1 species
AUUGAACGCUGGCGGCAGGCUUAACACAUGCAAGUCGAGCGGGGGAAGGUAGCUUGCUACCGGACCUAGCGGCGGACGGGUGAGUAAUGCUUAGGAAUCUGCCUAUUAGUGGGGGACAACAUCUCGAAAGGGAUGCUAAUACCGCAUACGUCCUACGGGAGAAAGCAGGGGAUCUUCGGACCUUGCGCUAAUAGAUGAGCCUAAGUCGGAUUAGCUAGUUGGUGGGGUAAAGGCCUACCAAGGCGACGAUCUGUAGCGGGUCUGAGAGGAUGAUCCGCCACACUGGGACUGAGUCACGGCCCAGACUCCUACGGGAGGCAGCAGUGGGGAAUAUUGGACGAUGGGGGGAACCCUGAUCCAGCCAUGCCGCGUGUGUGAAGAAGGCCUUAUGGUUGUAAAGCACUUUAAGCGAGGAGGAGGCUACUCUAGUUAAUACCUAGGGAUAGUGGACGUUACUCGCAGAAUAAGCACCGGCUAACUCUGUGCCAGCAGCCGCCGUAA